AUUGAACGCUGGCGGCAUGCUUUACACAUGCAAGUCGAACGGCAGCGCGGGCUUCGGCCUGGCGGCGAGUGGCGAACGGGUGAGUAAUACAUCGGAACGUGCCCAGUAGUGGGGGAUAGCUAGGCGAAAGCCGGAUUAAUACUGCAUACGACCUGAGGGUGAAAGCGGGGGAUCUUCGGACCUCGCGCUAUUGGAGCGGCCGAUGGCAGAUUAGCUAGUUGGUGGGGUAAAGGCCUACCAAGGCGACGAUCUGUAGCUGGUCUGAGAGGACGACCAGCCACACUGGGACUGAGACACGGCCCAGACUCCUACGGGAGGCAGCAGUGGGGAAUUUUGGACAAUGGGCGAAAGCCUGAUCCAGCAAUGCCGCGUGUGUGAUGAAGGCCUUCGGGUUGUAAAGCACUUUUGGCGGGAACGAAAAGGACUGUGCCAAUACCACGGUUCGAUGACGGUACCCGCAGAAUAAGCACCGGCUAACUACGUG
rnacentral:rRNA from 1 species